rnacentral:lncRNA from 13 species
CACCACACCCAGCCCCGAGAGGCAGGUAUCAUGAUCCCUUCUUUAUAGAGGAUAUCGAGUCCACAUGCCUUGAAGACCACCAUGGGCCAUCUUUAGCCAGGAAGCCACCAGUCCCAGUCUCUCCCUGGACUCUUCACCGGAAAUACAAAUGCUUUUUGA